rnacentral:lncRNA from 1 species
CACUGAUGGAAUCAGCACUGAUCGAUAGUAUCUCUAAUGAAGCAUUGUUUGUUAUUUUGUGUGACAGUAAGAGGAUGACAUCUAUUGUUAUUUUAGUGUUAAAUAUACCAAUCCCCUUUAUUGUUCUUAUGUCUAGUACUUGAGACAUCAUCAAGUAUACAAUAUCAGGUGAUAAGUGACGGAGGAAAAUGGUCCGAUGACUGUCCGUUAAUUGACUGAUCACUUCCUGACAUUGACCUGCUGAUGGUUUAGUGAGGGAUACACUAUCACUGCCCCACUUCACCUCUCCAGUCUCUUCUCCUAAUAUUAAACACAGUGAUGCUGGUUUUUGUACCAGUAAGUCAUUGCAGCUGCUAGGAUGGAAUGGGUGUGGUCUAUCUUUUAUCAUGUGACAGGAAACAAAAAUCAAUUUCCUUGGUCCAUUAUUCCAGUAUAUAAUUCUGUGGACAACAGAACU